rnacentral:lncRNA from 1 species
UGAUAGUGGGGGCUUCCAUUCCUGUCUUUUGGAACACUUGCCCCUGGAAGUCUGAGCCUUCAUGUAAGAAGUUUGGCUACUCUGCUGGAGAGGCCUCCUGGAGAGUACCCAAGAAUCUACCAAAAGGAGGUGGAGGUUGGCUCACGCAUCAGGCAUUUCCUUAGGAAAUCCCACCAUUGUCUGAUUGGGAAGGAAUGGCUUUCCCGACUGGUGCGACUAGGAAGAUCAUCCUCUGAAGGAAAAAACCCAGACGUUCUGUCUCCAAUAGAUUCCCAGUAUUCCCACCGUCCCAGCCUGUGGAGCUCCAUGCUUGUACCUUGUGCACUUUCUGAAUAACAAAGGUUUUAUAGGUAAAAUCUGCAGUGUGUUUUGUGUACUUGACAAUAAGGUGCACUGGUUUUCGGCAGCACAGUGAGGACAGAAAGGAUUAAGCGAGGUUAGCACUGAGCAUCCACCAUGGAGUCGGCCAGAAGAAGCCUGCGUGACCGGGAACUGCUGAAGCCCUCUUAGUUAUAUCAUAGCCAGUUGAAUUACUGCUGUGUGUGCAUCUUAUUUCUCUAACUGGCUUGUUAUCACCUUUAGGAUAGGGAGCUAUCUUUUGUGUCUCUGCUCAGGUCUAUGAUUUUUUUAUUGUGGAAAGAAUUUUAAAACCGUUAUCUGAUAGUCUAGUAUCACCCCUUAUGGCUCUGUAUAAAUAGCUUACCUUUUAAGCCUGUUUCUUCAUCUGUAAAAUAAAAACAAUAACACUUCCUGGGCUACUAACAAAAUUAAGAGAUACAGCAUUUACAAACAGGCUUCAAAAUUAUAUAUUUGUAUAAAAUUUAAAGCAUUAUUGCUAUAGUUAAUAAUUAAUAAUAGUAGAAAAUAAGUAUUUAAAGAAUGUUGAAUAAAAGGAAAGAAUCCAAUGUUCAAGAUUGUAUUGCUGCUUUAGGGGUCCAAUGAAUGACACACAAGGAAAAUAUCAGGGCCUAGGUUUUUAGCUAGCUGAGAUGCACAUAACAUAGUAGCUACAUGCAAAUAAUCCAUAAUUGGAGUAAUCCCAAAGAAUGCUAGUCAUUAAUUUGAAGUCAUAAGGCAAUGUGCACAGAAGUCAAGUCUUUAUAUAGAGUACAUAGUGAGCAAUUCUCUACAGAUCUUCUUCCUCUAACUCCAGUGUAAUGAUUGAUGCCCUUUCUCGGUAUGAUCCUCUACUGUUAUAAGUAUGUGUUAAGAAAUUUUUCAAAAAUGAUAAAUUC